CGAUCCUCUACUGCAGUGCGUCUGCAUAGAGUUCUGUGUUGAUGCAAUUAUAAUUUCCCAAUAAUUUGCAGAUAUAACUUAUAUGGAACAUCACAGUGUCAACAGAAGUCAGAAACUGGAAUACUGUAUCUCAUUCUGCAUGAAGCUCAAGAAUUCUACACCUGGAAUGUUAUUAAUUCUUGCAAUUAAUAUUAUACAUCACCACAGUUACAUAACUAUCUUCUUUGGAAAAAAUAAAAUAAAGAUACUUCAAA